AUUGAACGCUGGCGGAAUGCUUUACACAUGCAAGUCGAACGGCAGCACGGACUUCGGUCUGGUGGCGAGUGGCGAACGGGUGAGUAAUGUAUCGGAACGUGCCCAGUCGUGGGGGAUAACGUAGUGAAAAUUACGCUAAUACCGCAUACGAUCUAUGGAUGAAAGCGGGGGAUCGCAAGACCUCGCGCGAUUGGAGCGGCCGAUAUCAGAUUAGGUAGUUGGUGGGGUAAAGGCCCACCAAGCCAACGAACUGUAGCUGGUCUGAGAGGACGACCAGCCAGACUGGAACUGAGACACGGUCCAGACUCCUACGGGAGGCAGCAGGGGGGAAUUUUGGACAAUGGGCGAAAGCCUGAUCCAGCCAUUCCGCGUGCAGGAUGAAGGCCCUCGGGUUGUAAACUGCUUUUGUACAGAACGAAAAGGUUUCUACUAAUACUAGGAGCUCAUGACGGUACUGUAAGAAUAAGCACCGGCUAACUACGUGCCAGCCGCCGCAGUAA
rnacentral:rRNA from 1 species